GCCAAAACACAUAAGGUCUCCAUACCCCGUCCGGUAUGAGAGACCACGUUCCCGGUAGGGUUCCCUACGGACCCGAUCCGUCCACCAUCUCCCAGGAUAUCUAGUCAGGCUGUUCACAUUUUCCACUUAUCAAUUCACAUAACCUUUUUACCUUUUUCCUUAAUCUCAAUCAUCUAAUCAUACACAACAUGUAAACCAGUAAUUGACACCAAACAAGACAACACAGUAUCGGGUUCACCAUAAUACAAACCAUAAUAAAAGAAACCAUGAUUUAUGCAUACGAGACCAUAACAUAAUUACAUCAAACAUCAUACUGCAUUUUGUAUUGAAAAUUAGAUCAAACAACAACUAACCAACAAUGU
rnacentral:lncRNA from 1 species